GCGGGGUUAAUCCCCGCAUCGGUAAUGCGGCCAAAGGCGGUGGCAAGCCCGCAAGAACGCAGAGCCACGA
rnacentral:ribozyme from 1 species